rnacentral:rRNA from 1 species
GAUGAACGCUGGCGGCGUGCCUAAUACAUGCAAGUCGAGCGAACAGACGAUGAGCUUGCUCCUCUGACGUUAGCGGCUGACGGGUGAGUAACACGUGGAUAACCUACCUAUAAGACUGGGAUAACUUCGGGAAACCGGAGCUAAUACCAGAUAAUAUAUUGAACCGCAUGGUUCAAUAGUGAAUGGCAGUUUUGCUGUCACUUAUAGAUGUAUCCGCGCCGCAUUAGCUAGUUGGUAAGGUAACGGCUUACCAAGGCGACGAUGCGUAGCCGAGCUGAGAGGGUGAUCGGCCACACUGGAACUGAGACACGGUCCAGACUCCUACGGGAGGCAGCAGUAGGGAAUCUUCCACAAUGGGCGCAAGCCUGACGGAGCAACGCCGCGUGAGUGAAGAAGGUCUUCGGAUCGUAAAACCCUGUUGUUAGGGAAGAAAAAGUGUGUAAGUAACUCUGCACGUCUUGACGGUACCUAAUCAGAAAGCAACGGCUAACUACGUG